UACGGAGGGGGCGAGCGUUAUUCGGAAUUAUUGGGCGUAAAGGGCGCGUAGGCGGCUGAACAAGUCAAAGGUGAAAUCCCUCGGCUCAACUGAGGAACUGCCUUUGAAACUGUUCGGCUUGAGGCCGGGAGGGGGUAGCGGAAUUCCCAGUGUAGCGGUGAAAUGCGUAGAUAUUGGGAGGAACACCAGUGGCGAAGGCGGCUACCUGGACCGGUUCCGACGCUGAGGCGCGAAAGCGUGGGUAGCAAACAGG
rnacentral:rRNA from 1 species